UCCCAUUAUUGCGGGGUCUGCGAGGGGCAAAGUGUUCGCAGCUUUACCAGUACACCAACAGUUGAUUGACUGUAAUUUCUUUGGUUGAUGAUCUUUGUUUAUUUAUCUUUCAUGCAGGUCUGCUUGGUUUGUCUGUUGCCACUCUUCCUCGUUCUUAUCGUGUACGAUUUUAUCUGUUACCCCUCCUAUUCGAUUUUAUCAUGGGCAAAGUAUAUAAGCUUUUCCGUUGGGAGUACAGGAAGCCGGAAAGGGCUUCACCUGCUUGUCCAUACAAACCUGCUGCUCCCAAGGUCACCAAAAAUUUGCAGACAUGAAUUUACCUGCAAGGGGGCCGCGCUGGACUAAAUGAGCUGCAAUUUGGUUCUCAUCAAGAGGAAUGGUGGAGAAGUUGACAACCCGAACAGCUAUCUUCUCUGGGUCGAACUUGCAUUCCUCUUUUUUCCCAGUGUAAGGCUCCUUUAUCUCUCCAAUCGAAGCUUGUGGGCAACCCAUCAACUUCCAAGCUUGGUGCGAUUGAAUUAACUUCCUCGUUUAGAGAAGACCCAACUCUCAAUCCAGUAAACAUAUUCUCGAACUCAUCUUGAGAGAGAUCAGA